AACGAACGCUGGCGGCAUGCCUAACACAUGCAAGUCGAACGAGACCUUCGGGUCUAGUGGCGCACGGGGGCGUAACGCGUGGGAACCUGCCCUUAGGUUCGGAAUAACUCCCCGAAAGGGGUGCGAAUACCGGAUAAUGUCUCCGGACCAAAGAUUUUACGCCUUUGGGGGGGCCCUCGUUGGAUUAGCUAGUUGGUAGGGUAAAAGGCUACCAAGGGGUCGAUCCGUAGCUGGUCUGAGAGGAGGACCCGCCACACUGGGACGAGGACACGGCCCAGAAUCCUACGGAAUGCAGCAGUGGCUAAUAUUGGACAAUGGGCUAAAUCCUGAUCCAGCAAUGCCUCUUGAGUGAUGAAAGCCUUAGGGUUGUAAAGCUCUUUUACCCGUGAUUAUAAUGACAGUACCGAGAGAAUAAGCUCCGGCUAACUCCGUG
rnacentral:rRNA from 1 species